rnacentral:rRNA from 1 species
AGGAAGCAGCUUGCUGCUUCGCUGACGAGUGGCGGACGGGUGAGUAAUGUCUGGGAAACUGCCUGAUGGAGGGGGAUAACUACUGGAAACGGUAGCUAAUACCGCAUAACGUCGCAAGACCAAAGAGGGGGACCUUCGGGCCUCUUGCCAUCGGAUGUGCCCAGAUGGGAUUAGCUAGUAGGUGGGGUAACGGCUCACCUAGGCGACGAUCCCUAGCUGGUCUGAGAGGAUGACCAGCCACACUGGAACUGAGACACGGUCCAGACUCCUACGGGAGGCAGCAGUGGGGAAUAUUGCACAAUGGGCGCAAGCCUGAUGCAGCCAUGCCGCGUGUAUGAAGAAGGCCUUCGGGUUGUAAAGUACUUUCAGCGGGGAGGAAGGCGAUAAGGUUAAUAACCUUGUCGAUUGACGUUACCCGCAGAAGAAGCACCGGCUAACUCCGUGCCAGCAGCCGCGGUAAUACGGAGGGUGCAAGCGUUAAUCGGAAUUACUGGGCGUAAAGCGCACGCAGGCGGUCUGUCAAGUCGGAUGUGAAAUCCCCGGGCUCAACCUGGGAACUGCAUUCGAAACUGGCAGGCUAGAGUCUUGUAGAGGGGGGUAGAAUUCCAGGUGUAGCGGUGAAAUGCGUAGAGAUCUGGAGGAAUACCGGUGGCGAAGGCGGCCCCCUGGACAAAGACUGACGCUCAGGUGCGAAAGCGUGGGGAGCAAACAGGAUUAGAUACCCUGGUAGUCCACGCCGUAAACGAUGUCGACUUGGAGGUUGUGCCCUUGAGGCGUGGCUUCCGGAGCUAACGCGUUAAGUCGACCGCCUGGGGAGUACGGCCGCAAGGUUAAAACUCAAAUGAAUUGACGGGGGCCCGCACAAGCGGUGGAGCAUGUGGUUUAAUUCGAUGCAACGCGAAGAACCUUACCUACUCUUGACAUCCAGAGAACUUUCCAGAGAUGGAUUGGUGCCUUCGGGAACUCUGAAACAGGUGCUGCAUGGCUGUCGUCAGCUCGUGUUGUGAAAUGUUGGGUUAAGUCCCGCAACGAGCGCAACCCUUAUCCUUUGUUGCCAGCGGUCCGGCCGGGAACUCAAAGGAGACUGCC